rnacentral:rRNA from 1 species
UACAGAGGGUGCGAGCGUUAAUCGGAAUUACUGGGCGUAAAGCGCACGUAGGUGGCGACGUAAGUCGGGUGUGAAAGCCCCGGGCUCAACCUGGGAAUUGCAUUCGAGACUGCAUUGCUGGAGUACGGAAGAGGAAGGCGGAAUUCCCGGUGUAGCGGUGAAAUGCGUAGAUAUCGGGAGGAACAUCAGUGGCGAAGGCGGCCUUCUGGUCCAGUACUGACACUCAAGUGCGAAAGCGUGGGGAGCAAACAG